AGAGUUUGAUCCUGGCUCAGGAUGAACGCUAGCGGGAGGCUUAACACAUGCAAGUCGAGGGGUAACAGGGGUAGCAAUACCUGCUGACGACCGGCGUACGGGUGAGUAACGCGUAUGCAACCUGCCCUAUACAGGAGGAUAGCCCGGAGAAAUUCGGAUUAAUACUCCAUGUAGCAUUUUUUUCGCAUGAAUUAGAUGUUAAAGAUUUAUCGGUAUAGGAUGGGCAUGCGUCCCAUUAGCUAGUUGGUGAGGUAACGGCUCACCAAGGCAUCGAUGGGUAUGGGGUCUUAAAGGAUGGUCCCACACACUGGCACUGAGACACGGGCCAGACUCCUACGGGAGGCAGCAGUGAGGAAUAUUGGUCAAUGGGUGAGAGCCUGAACCAGCCAUCCCGCGUGCAGGAUGACGGUCCUAGUGAUUGUAAACUGCUUUUCUAUGAGAUGAAUAAGAAUUACGUGUAGUUCGAUGACCGUAUUAUAGGAAUAAGCAUCGGCUAACUCCGUGCCAGCAGCCGCGGUAAUACGGAGGAUGCAAGCGUUAUCCGGAUUUAUUAGGUUUAAAGGGUGCGUAGGUGGGCGUUUAAGUCAGUGGUUAAAGCCAUUAGCUUAACUAAUGUAUGCCAUUGAUACUGGAUGUCUUGAAUGUGGUAGAGGUAGGCGGAAUGUGUUGUGUAGCGGUGAAAUGCUUAGAUAUAACACAGAACACCGAUUGCGAAGGCAGCUUACUAUUCCAUUAUUGACGCUGAUGCACGAAAGCGUGGGGAUCAAACAGGAUUAGAUACCCUGGUAGUCCACGCUGUAAACUAUGAUCACUCGUUUUUGGCGAUAUAUAGUCAGAGACUGAGCGAAAGCAUUAAGUGAUCCACCUGGGGAGUACGUUCGCAAGAAUGAAACUCAAAUGAAUUGACGG
rnacentral:rRNA from 1 species